GUGUAUUUGUGAUGUAUGACGUCCGUCUCCAUAACAGUGGUCCGUGGAGCCCUGUCCGAAUCUAUCCACCCAACAGAUAUAUCACGACUUCACCUUUUCCACUUGGUCAAUGACCAACGACAUCUUCGUCCUUACCUCAUUUAUCUAUAUCUUUAUUAUAUAUGCUCUCAAACACACGUAGAUCAAUAAAGUUUUACUUUCCGAAUAAUCUUAUACGAAUAUUUAUCAACGUCCACAAAAUAUGAUUUAAUCGUUAGCGACUGACUAGAUACCCAACCCAUAGAAUGGAGCCUUGAUGUCUCCUAGUACGUAUUGGAGCAUUUUGCUCCUCGUAAGAUUUAUAGCCAUUAGGAAUAUCACUAGACCAACGAAUCUUAUUCGUGAAAGUUUUAGGAGAGUUGAUUCAACGUUUUCUAAACUUUUUUUAAAAAGAGAUAAAGCUUUUUCUCAUUUUUUUUAUUUUCGUUGAUUAUUAAUUAUUCUGAUUCUUGUUGUAUAUAAUGUUUCUACCUACUCUUUAC